rnacentral:rRNA from 1 species
UGGGGAAUAUUGCACAAUGGACGAAAGUCUGAUGCAGCGACGCCGCGUGAGGGAAGAAGGUUUUCGGAUUGUAAACCUCUGUCCCAUGGGAAGAAACAAAUGACGGUACCAUGGGAGGAAGCCACGGCUAACUACGUGCCAGCAGCCGCGGUAAAACGUAGGUGGCAAGCGUUGUCCGGAAUUACUGGGUGUAAAGGGAGCGCAGGUGGGAUGUCAAGUCGAAUGUGAAAUCUACGGGCUCAACCCGUAAAUUGCGUUCGAUACUGAUGUUCUUGAGUGGAGUAGAGGCAAGCGGAAUUCCCGGUGUAGCGGUGGAAUGCGUAGAUAUCGGGAGGAACACCAGUGGCGAAGGCGGCUUGCUGGGCUCUAACUGACACUGAGGCUCGAAAGCGUGGGGAGCAAACA